rnacentral:rRNA from 1 species
UGAGGAAUAUUGGACAAUGGACGAAAGUCUGAUCCAGCCAUACCGCGUGCAGGAAGACAGCCCUACGGGUCGUAAACUGCUUUUGUUUGCCAAGAAACCUCCCCACGUGUGGGGAGCUGACGGUAGCAUUCGAAUAAGGACCGGCUAACUCCGUGCCAGCAGCCGCGGUAAUACGGAGGGUCCAAGCGUUAUCCGGAUUUAUUGGGUUUAAAGGGUUCGUAGGCGGGAAGAUAAGUCAGUGGUGAAAGCCUGUGGCUCAACCAUAGAAUUGCCAUUGAUACUGUCUUUCUUGAAUGCACAUGAAGUGGGCGGAAUGUGUCGUGUAGCGGUGAAAUGCUUAGAUAUGACACAGAACACCGAUUGCGAAGGCAGCUCACUAAAGUGUUAUUGACGCUGAGGAACGAAAGCGUGGGGAGCGAACAGGAUUAGAUACCCGUGUAGUCC